GACGAACGCUGGCGGCGUGCUUAACACAUGCAAGUCGAACGGAAAGGCCCUGCUUUUGUGGGGUGCUCGAGUGGCGAACGGGUGAGUAACACGUGAGUAACCUGCCCUGGACUUUGGGAUAACUUCAGGAAACUGGGGCUAAUACCGGAUAGGAGCGCCUGCUGCAUGGUGGGGGUUGGGAAGGUUCGGCGGUUGGGGAUGGACUCGCGGCGUAUCAGCUUGUUGGUGGGGUAGUGGCUUACCAAGGCUUUGACGGGUAGCCGGCCUGAGAGGGUGACCGGCCACAUUGGGACUGAGAUACGGCACAGACUCCUACGGGAGUCAGCAGUGGGGAAUAUUGCACAAUGGGCGGAAGCCUGAUGCAGCCACGCCGCGUGCGGGAUGACGGCCUUCGGUUUGUAAACCGCUUUCGCCUGUGACGAAGCGUGAGUGACGGUAAUGGGUAAAGAAGCACCGGCUAACUACGUG
rnacentral:rRNA from 1 species